rnacentral:rRNA from 1 species
UACAGAGGGGGCGAGCGUUGUUCGGAAUUACUGGGCGUAAAGCGUGCGCAGGCGGUUUUGUAAGACAGAGGUGAAAUCCCCGGGCUCAACCUGGGAACUGCCUUUGUGACUGCAAGGCUUGAGUGCGGCAGAGGGGGAUGGAAUUCCGCGUGUAGCAGUGAAAUGCGUAGAUAUGCGGAGGAACACCGAUGGCGAAGGCAAUCCCCUGGGCCUGCACUGACGCUCAUGCACGAAAGCGUGGGGAGCAAACAGG